CAUAUAGCCCAUCUUGUAUUUUGCACAUUUCCUGUGUGUUUUGUACAGUUCAGAAUUGUUCAAAGUUUUUUUUUUCACCAUUUUUCUUUGCUUUAUUUGACACUUGGCAGAGUCAAAUUGGGCUCAAAAUUGGCACAUGUAGGGAAGAGUAGAAACUACAUCUCACUAAAAUUUUGGCCCCUUCAAACCUGCCACGUGGCAGAUAUGGCUGACGGAGCUGCACUGCAACUCGCCCAGAUUUGCAGCCACUCACCCAAAAAUAAGUAUGAGAAAUAGGGGUGGGGUGUAGAGAGAGAGUCUGC